rnacentral:tmRNA from 1 species
GGGGGCGUACCUGGUUUCGACGGGGAUCGCAGGGGGCUGGAUAAGCGAGCCGCAGCUGUCUGAGACUGCGAUAAAACUCGGGCAAAAAAACAAACGCAAACAAUAACGAAUACGCUCUCGCGGCUUAAGGCCGUGAGCGUCCCACCGCUUCCUCCCGCUUGAGGCGGAGCGGGGCGUCAAAAUAAGCGGGGAACCAGCCCGGUCAAGCUUUGUGCCGGGUGGGACUCGAUGAAGCUACCGAAGCGCUGACCCUGCG